UACGUAGGGAGCAAGCGUUGUCCGGAAUCAUUGGGCGUAAAGCGCGCGUAGGUGGCCUCAUAAGUCCGCUGUGAAAGUCAAAGGCUCAACCUUUGAAAGCCGGUGGAUACUGCAGGACUAGAGUACGGAAGAGGCGAGUGGAAUUCCUGGUGUAGCGGUGGAAUGCGCAGAUAUCAGGAGGAACACCAAUAGCGAAGGCAGCUCGCUGGGACGUUACUGACACUGAGGCGCGAAAGCGUGGGGAGCGAACAGG
rnacentral:rRNA from 1 species